rnacentral:rRNA from 1 species
UACGGAGGGUGCGAGCGUUAAUCGGAAUUACUGGGCGUAAAGCGUGCGCAGGCGGUUUGUUAAGCGAGAUGUGAAAGCCCCGGGCUCAACCUGGGAUGGUCAUUUCGAACUGGCAAGCUAGAGUCUCGUAGAGGGGGGUAGAAUUCCAGGUGUAGCGGUGAAAUGCGUAGAGAUCUGGAGGAAUACCGGUGGCGAAGGCGGCCCCCUGGACGAAGACUGACGCUCAGGCACGAAAGCGUGGGGAG